rnacentral:rRNA from 1 species
AGAGUUUGAUCCUGGCUCAGAACGAACGCUGGCGGCGUGGAUAAGACAUGCAAGUCGAGCGCUGAUUUCGGGGUAGCAAUAUUCCGGAGUCGGAGCGGCGCAAGGGUGCGUAACACGUGGGUAAUCUGCCAUGAAGUUCGGGAUAACUUGCUGAAAGGCGAGCUAAUACCGGAUGUGACAACUGAGAGGCAUCUUUUGGUUGUUAAAGUUGGGGACCGUAAGGCCUGACGCUUCUUGAUGAACCCGCGGCCUAUCAGCUAGUUGGUGAGGUAACGGCCCACCAAGGCUAAGACGGGUAGCUGGUCUGAGAGGACGACCAGCCACACUGGAACUGAGACACGGUCCAGACACCUACGGGUGGCAGCAGUCGAGAAUUUUUCACAAUGGGCGCAAGCCUGAUGGAGCGACGCCGCGUGGGGGAUGAAUGGCUUCGGCCCGUAAACCCCUGUCAUUCGCGAUCAAACCUCAUUAUUUAAAAGAUGAUGAGCUGAUAGUAGCGGAAGAGGAAGGGACGGCUAACUCUGUGCCAGCAGCCGCGGUAAUACAGAGGUCCCAAGCGUUGUUCGGAUUCACUGGGCGUAAAGGGUGCGUAGGUGGUGAGGUAAGUCGGAUGUGAAAUCUCGGAGCUCAACUCCGAAAUGGCAUUGGAAACUACCUUGCUCGAGGGUUGGAGGGGGGACUGGAAUACUUGGUGUAGCAGUGAAAUGCGUAGAUAUCAAGUGGAACACCAGUGGCGAAAGGCGAGUCCCUGGACAACUCCUGACACUGAGGCACGAAAGCUAGGGGAGCAACAGGAUUAGAUAC